rnacentral:rRNA from 1 species
ACGAACGCUGGCGGCGUGCUUAACACCUGCCAGUCGCACGCUGAAGAAAAGAAUUGAAGCUUCGGCAGAAAUUCAUUUCGGAUUAGUGGCAGACGGGUGAGUAACGCGUGAGCAACCUACCUCUUACAAAGGGAUAGCCUCGGGAAACCGGGAUUAAUACCAUAUAACAUUGCGACGAAGCAUUUCGAUGCAAUCAAAGCUACGGCGGUAAGAGAUGGGCUCGCGUCCCAUUAACCAGAUGGUGAGGUAACGGCUCACCAUAGUAACGAUGGGUAACCGGCCUGAGAGGGUGAACGGUCACACUGGAACUGAGACACGGUCCAGACUCCUACGGGAGGCAGCAGUGGGGAAUAUUGCACAAUGGAGGGAACUCUGAUGCAGCGACGCCGCGUGAGUGAUGAAGGAAUUCGUUUCGUAAAACUCUGUUCUAUGGGAAGAAAAGGACUGUACCAUAGGAGAAAGCUCCGGCUAAAUACGUG